rnacentral:rRNA from 1 species
AACGAACGCUGGCGGCAUGCCUAACACAUGCAAGUCGAACGAGACCUUCGGGUCUAGUGGCGCACGGGUGCGUAACACGUGGGAAUUUGCCUCGGGGUAUGGAAUAACUCAGGGAAACUUGAGCUAAUACCAUAUAAUGUCUUCGGACCAAAGAUUUAUCGCCCUGAGAUAAGCCCGCGUAGGAUUAGCUAGUUGGUGGGGUAAAGGCUCACCAAGGCGACGAUCCUUAGCUGGUCUGAGAGGAUGAUCAGCCACACUGGGACUGAGACACGGCCCAGACUCCUACGGGAGGCAGCAGUGGGGAAUAUUGGACAAUGGGGCGAAAGCCUGAUCCAGCAAUGCCGCGUGAGUGAUGAAGGCCUUAGGGUGUAAGCUCUUUACCGAGAUGAUAAUGAC